GCGGCGGGGCGGAGUAACUGCGGCAGAGCAGAAUUGCUCCAGUUUUUAACAGAGGUCAGAGGUGUGGCUGAGGGAGUCCAGGGCUGCGCUGGAGGAGAGAGCGGAGGGACGGACGGACGUUUGGAGGCGAGGAACAGGGAGGUUUCCGCGCUGCGCGCAGAGAGGGCGAAGCAGAGCUGCUCCUAAGACAGCGCCAGCCGGCGCCAUCCUCCGACGGAACCCUCGCCGCAGAGGCGUGCGCGCCAUCCGCAGACAGCGCAAGGCCCCGCGGACAUCACCCUUAACCAGCACUAAACGCAGGCUUCCUGACACCGACUUUCUGCACAAAUUAAGCCAUAAGUAAAAGCACGCAUUUCUGCUAAUUCCGUGACCUCAUUCCUGUCACCCCCUCAAAAAGUGGGGUACCUGUAAGUAGCAGUUGUUCAGUCCUGCCUCGCUGUAGCCCGGGAACCUUCGCGUCUCUGCAAACUCAUUUCUUCUGGACCUUUCCUAGGACAAGGAUCAAACCAUGUGGGGCCUUUCCUGUGGACUCCUUUCACACAGUGCAG
rnacentral:lncRNA from 1 species